AUUAAGAAUUCCAGGGUCUUUCCCGUCGAGUCGGUGGAGUGGUGAGGACACCGGACUCCCGCACUCCAACUUCGAAUGGUCCUUACUGGGUGAAGACCCUAGUUUCAUGUCAAGAGUGAACUAAGGCAUCUCUGCUGGUUCCACCACGAGUGUACUGAAUUGAGAUUCCUUGCUUGCCUUGCCUUGGCAGAUCUGCUGAUAUGAUAGCACUCAGUAAACACCUUUUACUGAGGAUACACCUCGAAAAAUUAGAGAUAAGGAAACAAGCCUUAAAAACAGUGACUUUGCUCAAGGUCAGAAGCAAGCAGCACAACAAGGACUCAAUCCAUGGUUGAAAUGGUAGACUUCACUUGUAAAUGGAAAGACUCAAUUAGUCUGUGUAAAGCAACUUCUCCAUGGGAUGCCAAGAGCCUUCAAACUGAUUCCAUUUUCAACCUACCUGUUCACUGCCAUUUCAGAAAAAACGAGAAAAAAAGCCGUGUGGUGGAACAAGCCCUUAAUCCCAGCACUCUGGAGGCAGAGGUGGGUGGUAGGCUGAGUCCAAGUCCCACCUGGACCACCUAUCAAGUUCCACAUCAUCUAGGGCUAUGUAGUGAGACCUUGUCUAAUAAUAAUAAUUAAUAAAUAAUAACUGGGAAAGAUCGACAA